UACGUAGGGUGCGAGCGUUGUCCGGAAUUAUUGGGCGUAAAGAGCUCGUAGGCGGUUUGUCGCGUCGGCCGUGAAAACCUGCGGCUCAACUGCAGGCUUGCGGUCGAUACGGGCAGGCUGGAGUUCGGUAGGGGAGACUGGAAUUCCUGGUGUAGCGGUGAAAUGCGCAGAUAUCAGGAGGAACACCGGUGGCGAAGGCGGGUCUCUGGGCCGAUACUGACGCUGAGGAGCGAAAGCGUGGGGAGCGAACAGG
rnacentral:rRNA from 1 species